rnacentral:rRNA from 1 species
GGUGGUGCAUGGUUGUCGUCAGCUCGUGUCGUGAGAUGUUGGGUUAAGUCCCGCAACGAGCGCAACCCUCGCCUCUAGUUGCCAGCAUUCGGUUGGGCACUCUAGAGGGACUGCCGGCGACAAGUCGGAGGAAGGUGGGGAUGACGUCAAAUCAUCAUGCCCCUUAUGACCUGGGCUACACACGUGCUACAAUGGUUGGUACAACGAGUUGCGAGUCGGUGACGGCGAGCUAAUCUCUUAAAGCCAAUCUCAGUUCGGAUUGUAGGCUGCAACUCGCCUACAUGAAGUCGGAAUCGCUAGUAAUCGCGGAUCAGCACGCCGCGGUGAAUACGUUCCCGGGCCUU